GACGAACGCUGGCGGCGUGCCUAAUACAUGCAAGUAGAACGCACAGUUUAUACCGUAGCUUGCUACACCAUAAACUGUGAGUUGCGAACGGGUGAGUAACGCGUAGGUAACCUGCCUGGUAGCGGGGGAUAACUAUUGGAAACGAUAGCUAAUACCGCAUAAUAUUGAUUAUUGCAUGAUAAUUGAUUGAAAGAUGCUAUUGCAUCACUACCAGAUGGACCUGCGUUGUAUUAGCUAGUAGGUGAGGUAACGGCUCACCUAGGCGACGAUACAUAGCCGACCUGAGAGGGUGAUCGGCCACGCUGGGACUGGGACACGGCCCAGACUCCUACGGGAGGCAGCCGUAGGGGAUCUUCGGCAAUGGACGAAAGUCUGAACGAGCAACGCCGCGUGAGUGAAGAAGGUUUUCGGAUCGUAAAGCUCUGUUGUAAGAGAAGAAAGGGUGUGAGAGUGGAAAGUUCACACUGUGACGGUAUCUUACCAGAAAGGGACGGCUAACUACGUG
rnacentral:rRNA from 1 species